rnacentral:rRNA from 1 species
UACGGUGGGGGCAAGCGUUGUUCGGAAUUACUGGGCGUAAAGGGCUUGUAGGUGGCCAACUAAGUCAGACGUGAAAUCCCUCGGCUUAACCGGGGAACUGCGUCUGAUACUGGAUGGCUGGAGUGUGGGAGAGGGAUGCGGAAUUCCAGGUGUAGCGGUGAAAUGCGUAGAUAUCUGGAGGAACACCGGUGGCGAAGGCGGCAUCCUGGACCAUUACUGACACUGAAAAGCGAAAGCCAGGGGAGCAAACGGG